UACGUAGGGGGCAAGCGUUGUCCGGAAGUCAUUGGGCGUAAAGCGCGUGUAGGCGGCUUGGUAAGUCUGGUGUGAAACCUCGGGGCUCAACCCCGAGCCUGCACUGGAUACUGCCUCGCUUGAGUCCGGGAGGGGAGAGCGGAAUUCCUAGUGUAGCGGUGAAAUGCGCAGAUAUUAGGAAGAACACCGGUGGCGAAGGCGGCUCUCUGGAACGGUACUGACGCUGAGACGCGAAAGCGUGGGGAGCAAACAGG
rnacentral:rRNA from 1 species